UUACACAGCAUUAUUCAAAUGUACAUUUGCAUACUACACGUGUGGAUUUUCGUAGGUGAUAUUUUAAAUGUGAAAAAAAAAAAAAAAAGACUUGAGAGGGGCGUUUCAUAAAACAGUGAAGCUUGUCUUACCUGAAACAAACUAGUCAUAAAUAAUUUGAAAAUUUUAUAGGUGAUAAGUAGUGGAUGAGACAUUUCACAUCAGAAGUGAAUGAGGUCUGGUUAAAAAUCUCAGAGUCUUCGUUGGUUUUGUUUUACAGUACACACUACAUGACAAGUAUGGAAUUGUCGCUAAGUUAGAGUUGACGUUGAUAGAUUAAUUGAGUUAACAUUAUUUUGGCUUAUGCGAGGCUGCAGAUAAAGUGUCUGUUGUCAGCUGUUAAUAUAAAUCCAUAAAUUAUCUGAUAUUGCUUGGAUUUUAUUUGGUGAUAACAAACCGCCGCAAGCCUGACGUGAAAAAUAGGAUAUAGGAUAUAUAUACAUACAUAUAGAACACCGGUACAUUCAUCUACCUUGAAUUGAUCUGUGAUUAUUACAAAGAAAUCGUGAAAAGAAGCGAAAAAGUGUCUGAGAGUGGAUUUGAUUGGAUUUGAACAGGUUACUGAAGGCGAUACUGGCAUUAUCAACAGGUUUCCUAUUCGGCAUUAGAAACAGAAAAGCGACGGAGAUGAAUGCCAUCACCCGAAAAGCAAUACUGCUGGUAUUGAUAAGGAUUUCAGUGGGUCAAGUAACAGAACAAGCAUGCAGCAGCAACGAGGUAACGGAGAUCAAUAAUGGGUACAAGAAUCUUACAUCGGAAAUGUUUUUAAUUACAAACUUUA
rnacentral:lncRNA from 1 species